rnacentral:rRNA from 1 species
UGGGGAAUUUCGCGCAAUGGGCUAACGCCUGACGCAGCAACGCCGCGUGGAGGAUGAAGGUCUUUGGAUUGUAAACUCCUGUCAGCAGGGAAAAAGGGAUAGGACCUCAUACGUCCUAAACUUAAUUGUACCUGCAGAGGAAGCCCCGGCUAACUCUGUGCCAGCAGCCGCGGUAAUACAGAGGGGGCAAGCGUUAUUCGGAAUUAUUGGGCGUAAAGGGCGCGUAGGCGGCUUUGCAAGUGGCGGGUGAAAUCCCUCGGCUUAACCGAGGAACUGCCUGCCAGACUGCAUUGCUUGAGUCCGGGAGAGGUGAGUGGAAUUCCCAGUGUAGCGGUGAAAUGCGUAGAUAUUGGGAGGAACACCAGUGGCGAAGGCGGCUCACUGGACCGGAACUGACGCUGAGGCGCGAAAGCGUGGGGAGCAAACAG